rnacentral:rRNA from 1 species
AGCGAACGCUGGCGGCAGGCCUAACACAUGCAAGUCGAGCGGCCCUUCGGGGCAGCGGCGGACGGGUGAGUAACGCGUGGGAACGUGCCCUUUGGUACGGAACAACUGAGGGAAACUUCAGCUAAUACCGUAUGUGCCCUACGGGGGAAAGAUUUAUCGCCAUUGGAGCGGCCCGCGUUAGAUUAGCUAGUUGGUAGGGUAAUGGCCUACCAAGGCGACGAUCUAUAGCUGGUCUGAGAGGAUGAUCAGCCACACUGGGACUGAGACACGGCCCAGACUCCUACGGGAGGCAGCAGUGGGGAAUCUUGCGCAAUGGGCGAAGGCUUGACGCAGCCAUGCUGCGUGAAUGAUGAAGGUCUUAGGAUUGUAAAAUUCUUUCACCGGGGACGAUAAUGACGGUACCCGGAGAAGAAGCCCCGGCUAACUUCGUGCCAGCCGCCGCAGUAACAC